AUUGAACGCUGGCGGCAUGCCUUACACAUGCAAGUCGAACGGUAACGCGGGGCAACCUGGCGACGAGUGGCGAACGGGUGAGUAAUGCAUCGGAACGUGCCCAGUAGUGGGGGAUAGCUCGGCGAAAGCCGGAUUAAUACCGCAUACGACCUACGGGUGAAAGCGGGGGACCGUAAGGCCUCGCGCUAUUGGAGCGGCCGAUGUCAGAUUAGGUUGUUGGUGGGGUAAAGGCCUACCAAGCCGACGAUCUGUAGCUGGUCUGAGAGGAUGAUCAGCCACACUGGGACUGAGACACGGCCCAGACUCCUACGGGAGGCAGCAGUGGGGAAUCUUGGACAAUGGGGGCAACCCUGAUCCAGCCAUGCCGCGUGUGUGAAGAAGGCCUUCGGGUUGUAAAGCACUUUCAGCAGGGAGGAAGGCUUUGGCCGAAUAGGUUGAAGUACUUGACGUUACCUGCAGAAGAAGCACCGGCUAAUUUCGUGCCAGCAGCCGCGGUAA
rnacentral:rRNA from 1 species